UGCCUUUGCAUUCACGAUUCAAAUCCCUAUAUUGGAAAGGCUUGUUAUGAGCUAUGGCGAUAAAUGACUAUCGGAAUAAACCAUUCGGACCCGGGGGCGGUACCCGGCGCCUCCACCAUUUUUCACCUCUUGGGUGAAACAGUUAUGGGGGCGAAAUAGGAUCGACGAGGGUGUAAAGGGUAUGUUUUUGCUCGGCAUGGUACCACCGUAUCGGACCAUUAUUAUAGUUGCAAAUGAUAACAACUAUGCUGAGGCACGUUUGGCUGCGUAAGCAGUUCGACAACCUCGAAUUCAAGUCCUUUUCCCCUAGCAGGGUCUAGGCGGGGUCCGCAGGCACCUGGCAACAGAAGCCUGCACU
rnacentral:tmRNA from 1 species